GCCUUCGUGGACCAUGGUGGUCGCCUCACCUUUAUACGGUGUUCGUCGUAUGCACAGCAAUGAGGAACCGGGGGUUCGACUCCCCCCGAAGGCA